UUUAUUAUGUGUGUUUGCACUGUUGUCUUGAUCUGCGGCUCAUUUGCUAAUGACCUGUCAAUCAAAAGUCAGGAAGUUGGCUUACUCGUAUAAUUAUUAUCAUCAACAUGGUUUAUUCAGUAUAACAUUAAACAAACAACUAAGCUCAUAAAAUCAUCAUAAACGGCUUUACUGAGGUUUCAAAGCAAGGAAGCUGAGGAUAUAAUGAUCAAAGAGCUACAGACCACCUUUGGACUGAGCAUUACAACACAUGGAAAUGACUGUUUCUGACACCAUGCCAGAGUGAAAUGGACUCCUAGUCUGGGAGAGGGAGGCAGGGGCAAGUGCCAAAACUUAAACAUCCUCCAGAAGAAAAAAAGGUGGGAGGGUGAGGGACAGAGAGAAACACUUUCCUAAUAUAGCUCAGGGACUUUUGACAGCAGACCUUUACAGGUUGUACCGACUUUCAACGAGCAGCAAAUGGAGAUGUGUUGUUUCUGCCUUCCUGAUGUUUCUCGUCUUUAUAUGCCAAACAAGGAGUGAAGACGGUCCAGGAGUUUUUGCGGUAAGGAGAUGGCUCUUGAUCAUUUUUCUGUCAGUCAUACAGAACCACACAGACAGCAGUAGAGAUGGAGUCUGUUGUGACACAGCACAGUGCUACAUUUAAAAUGUAUUUACAGAAGAAUACGUCAUAAUCAGCCAGCAUAGACGGAUGAGUCUGUUGUUAUGUUAUCAGUGAAGGUGAUUUGAAUAUGAAAGUUUUGAUCUUUUUAAAUCAAAGACUAACUAUUGAUGAUGCUUUUAGAGGUUGGAUCAAAUUUAAUAUGGUGAAAUUUAAGGUGGAAACUAAUUGAGGUAUGUGCCAAAGUUUAAUUUCUCCAUGAACAAUAUUUUAGGGUGCACAAUAGCAAUAGUAAGAUGUUUAUUAUAGUUCAGAGCUAAGGAGUUUCCAAAUCUGACUAUAACCGACCCGGUGGCAUGGUAAUUAGCUCUGUUGUCUCACAGCAAGAAGGUUGUGAGUCCGGCUGUUUCUGUGU
rnacentral:lncRNA from 1 species